AGGCUCUGGUCAUGUGCAUAUAUU
rnacentral:miRNA from 1 species